rnacentral:lncRNA from 10 species
ACAUCAUCUACUAAAUUGAUUUCACACCCCGCUAAUGGAUGGUGAGGCACAGUUUGAAAAACUGCAUUCUUUCAGGACACUGAAUGGUCAGAACCCAAUGUGCUUUUAUUCAUUCAUUCAACAAAUAUUUGUGGCCAUGUAUAAUGUAUCAGGUGCUGUAUUUACUGUACUUCAUGCCAGGAAAGCAACAGAGAAGAAAACAUACCCAGUCCAGUCCCUGACCUCAUGUCAUUUACAAUCUCGGCUAAUCAAGUUCACAAAUAAAUAAUUCCAAAUCAUGAUGGGAGUGAAGCCAUAGAGGAUAAGAGGGCUCGGGGUGGUGAUCAGAGGUCUCUGAGGCAAUGAUCUGGAAGCUGCCACCUACAAGAUAAAGAGUAAGCAAGAUAGAGACAGCAGGAAUGAGCUCUCCGACGGAGGGCAUGAACAGCAAGUGCAAAGGCCCUGCGACUCGAAAGAGCAUGAAAGACUGAGGAAGCGGCCAGUGUGGCUCCAACACAGUGGAGGAGUGGGGGGAUCCUACUGAGAUAGAGGCCCUGGGCUGAAUAAUUCUCAUCCUUCAAGGCCCAACUCCAGCCAAUGGCACCGACCUCCUGGACCUGCUAGGCAGAAGUGGUGGCUCCCUCUCAGCUGACCCCAGAGCACUUCCUUAGCUCCUGCUGAUCUCAGAGCACACACACCAAUCCACUCUGGCCACUCAGCAAUUUUUCUUGAUGGCCCUGGCAUGGCACCUAUGCUGGGGUCAGACCCUCAACCAGCCCUUCAGUGUUGAAAUGCACAACCUCAGCCCUCUAGCCUCAGCGGAGGAAGCAGGGCUCUUCAGUUUGGGAGAACCAUAUACAACCAGAAGAAGGGGCCAAAAUAUCUGAAGCCCCCAGGAGCUGGCUCCUCCACAGCUCUCAGGAAUGACAGUAAACACAGACGGCCCUGCAUGUAUUCCGGCUGUGGCAGCCUUCCUCCUGGGCUGCACAUCAGGCUAACAAGCCCAGCCCUCAGCUUCACAGGGAUUGGAGAGCUGGUGACCCUAGUCAAGGAAGCUGGUGACCCUGGAUCAGUUGCCUCCCCUCUCUGUGCCUAAAUCCCCCACCCCACUUCUGUCAAUUAGGAGGAUGAUGCCUUCUUCAAAGUGUUGUCAUAAAGAUUAAAUCCUUAUUAAAGUCU